rnacentral:rRNA from 1 species
GACGAACGCUGGCGGCGUGCUUAACACAUGCAAGUCGAACGGAAAGGCCCUGCUUUUGUGGGGUGCUCGAGUGGCGAACGGGUGAGUAACACGCGAGUAACCUGCCCUUGACUUUGGGAUAACUUCAGGAAACUGGGGCUAAUACCGGAUAGGAGCUCCUGCUGCAUGGUGGGGGUUGGAAAGUUUCGGCGGUUGGGGAUGGACUCGCGGCUUAUCAGCUUGUUGGUGGGGUAGUGGCUUACCAAGGCUUUGACGGGUAGCCGGCCUGAGAGGGUGACCGGCCACAUUGGGACUGAGAUACGGCCCAGACUCCUACGGGAGGCAGCAGUGGGGAAUAUUGCACAAUGGGCGGAAGCCUGAUGCAGCAACGCCGCGUGCGGGAUGACGGCCUUCGGGUUGUAAACCGCUUUCGCCUGUGACGAAGCGUGAGUGACGGUAAUGGGUAAAGAAGCACCGGCUAACUACGUGCCAGCAGCCGCGGUGAUACGUAGGGUGCGAGCGUUGUCCGGAUUUAUUGGGCGUAAAGGGCUCGUAGGUGGUUGAUCGCGUCGGAAGUGUAAUCUUGGGGCUUAACCCUGAGCGUGCUUUCGAUACGGGUUGACUUGAGGAAGGUAGGGGAGAAUGGAAUUCCUGGUGGAGCGGUGGAAUGCGCAGAUAUCAGGAGGAACACCAGUGGCGAAGGCGGUUCUCUGGGCCUUUCCUGACGCUGAGGAGCGAAAGCGUGGGGAGCGAACAGGCUUAGAUACCCUGGUAGUCCACGCUGUAAACGGUGGGUACUAGGUGUGGGGUCCAUUCCACGGGUUCCGUGCCGUAGCUAACGCUUUAAGUACCCCGCCUGGGGAGUACGGCCGCAAGGCUAAAACUCAAAGGAAUUGACGGGGCCCCGCACAAGCGGCGGAGCAUGCGGAUUAAUUCGAUGCAACGCGUAGAACCUUACCUGGGUUUGACAUGGAUCGGGAGUGCUCAGAGAUGGGUGUGCCUCUUUUGGGGUCGGUUCACAGGUGGUGCAUGCCUGUCGUCAGCUCGUGUCGUGAGAUGUUGGGUUAAGUCCCGCAACGAGCGCAACCCUUGUUCACUGUUGCCAGCACGUUAUGGUGGGGACUCAGUGGAGACCGCCGGGGUCAACUCGGAGGAAGGUGGGGAUGACGUCAAGUCCUCAUGCCCCUUAUGUCCAGGGCUUCACGCAUGCUACAAUGGCUGGUACAGAGAGUGGCGAGCCUGUGAGGGUGAGCGAAUCUCGGAAAGCCGGUCUCAGUUCGGAUUGGGGUCUGCAACUCGACCUCAUGAAGUCGGAGUCGCUAGUAAUCGCAGAUCAGCAACGCUGCGGUGAAUACGUUCCCGGG